rnacentral:rRNA from 1 species
UACAGAGGUCUCAAGCGUUGUUCGGAUUCAUUGGGCGUAAAGGGCGCGUAGGCUGCGGGGCAAGUCGGGUGUGAAAUCUCAGAGCUCAACUCUGAAACUGCACUCGAUACUGCUUUGCUUGAGGACUGGAGAGGAGAUUGGAAUUCACGGUGUAGCAGUGAAAUGCGUAGAUAUCGUGAGGAAGACCAGUGGCGAAGGCGGAUCUCUGGACAGUUCCUGACGCUGAGGCGACGAAGGCCAGGGGAGCAAACGGG